rnacentral:rRNA from 1 species
UACGUAGGGUGCGAGCGUUAAUCGGAAUUACUGGGCGUAAAGCGUGCGCAGGCGGUUUUGUAAGCCGGAUGUGAAAGCCCCGGGCUCAACCUGGGAAUGGCAUUUGGGACUGCAAGGCUUGAGUGCGGCAGAGGAGACUGGAAUUCCUGGUGUAGCAGUGAAAUGCGUAGAUAUCAGGAGGAAUACCGAUGGCGAAGGCAGGUCUCUGGGCUGACACUGACGCUCAUGCACGAAAGCGUGGGGAGCAAACAGG